UGGAUAUACUGAACCAUGUUGAUUUUGCCUGAUCUUGUUUGAUAUCAGAAGGUAAGUAGGGUCAGGCCUGGUUAUACUUGUGUUGGAGAACCUUGAAAACUUAGUAGUGUGCUGAA
rnacentral:rRNA from 1 species